UGUGUGUGUGCGUGAGAGGAAGAAACAGAGGAAGGAGAUUGGGCAGAAAUGCCCAAUCGGGACAAGAGAGAAGAAGGCAUCAGGAGGGAUUGAGAGAGGGAGAAGCCGACCAAUCGGAACAGAGGAAAGGAGGAAAGGAGAGAGGGCGAGAAACGGAGGAGAGAAGAUCAGAAAACGGGUUUUCCCCCAACCCGUUUACCCGCGACACCCACACCCAAUUUCCGGCGAUUUUCAAGGGAUUUCUCACAAAUUGGAUCAAGGUACCACUUCCAAUCAACACCUAGGCCUUCCCUCUUCAUGUUUCACCCAAAAAAUCAUGAAAUUUUGUGGUGAUGUCGCGAAGAACACCCACACGGGUGCUGCGACCUUCUUGUCCAAAUUCUUCAAAUCUUGAAAUGUUUUCUUUCAAUUACUAACACCAUUAGUAUUCCCUUAGGACCUAGAACAAAGCCCAAGCUUUGAUUUGGACGGUGGAGUUGAUUUGAAGGUCGAAUUGGAACUCACCCAAUUCUAGGGUCCGCACGGAAUUUGAUGAAUUUGAAGUGUUUCCAGGCCAAAUUGGCCUUGGCCACAGGUAUGAAAGUUUCUCUACUCAUUGAGAUCUUAGAUUCUGUAUUUUUUGAGAAUUUUUUAAAAUAGUUGGAUUUUUCGGCGAGCCGGGGCGGCCGACCGCCACCCGCAGCGGCCCAUGCGGCGGCGCGUGGCCAAUGGCCCGCCAAUGUCAUUCUUAGCAUGUGUUUAAGGUUCUAGGUUCAGUUUUGAUAAUUGUUGGACGUAAAUUGAGUAAUUGAACCUAAGUUUGUUACGAUUCGUGGUUAGGUAAAAAUGUGAAUUGAUGAUCCGACCGUUGGAUCGUCACCAAACUUUGACACGUUGUAAUACUUAAUAUUUGAGGAUUAUAGGAACCUACGGAUCUUUCAAAAUUAGAGUUGUAAGUUCAUAAUGUAGAAUGUUAACCGUCACUUGGUUUUGGAAAUUGACGGAGAUCCGACCGUUGGAUGGUAACGAAAUUUUAGGAUGAUGUCCUAGAGGUAUAUUGUGGACCUCUGGAAGUUAUGGAUUUGAAAUCUGAGUUGCAGAUCUUCCGGAUCGAACUACGUAGUGACGUGUCUUGUAUAAGUUAUAUAUUCUAUCGAUAUGAAUUCUGAGGUUGGAUUUGAUUAUCGUUCUAGGCGCUGAUCGUCACGACGCCUUGAUGUGUGGUGCUAGGGAGUUGUUGGGCGAACUCCAGGUGAGUGGGCAGUUUUUGUUUUUCGUAUUACCUAUAUGCUAUUAAUUGUCCCAGAAAUUGAAUUUAUAUGAAAGUAUGUUUUCAAUUGCCAUGAUGCAUAUUAUAAAUUAUAUGAAUUGAUAUUGAUGCAUAUAUAUAUGUGAAUUGGUGUUGUGGAUGCACAUGUGAGUUUAUAUGGUUUAUAUGAAUGAAUGAUGAUGUGAAUUAUGUUAAUAGCUCGUAACCUGCAUCCCUGGUGUUAGUGCUUAUGUUAUUCACCCUGCAUCACACGCUCACCUUGGAUCCAAGUAGAUGCUAGUCGUAGAGACCACUAGAGGUGGUUCCAACAUGCUAGUCGUAGAGACCACUAGAGGUGGUUCUGACAUGACAGUCGUACAGACCAUUAGAGGGGUUCCGACUGGUAGGUGACCUUAGAUUAUGUGCACAGAUGAUUAAUGAGAGAAGCACUAGAGCGUAUUAUUUCACCAUCUUAGUCGUACAGACUACUAUAGGUAGUUCCGACUUAUGUGCAGUGUAGUGUCGUACAGGUCACAGUUGGUGACUCCAGCAGGGCCGUACAGGUCACAGUUGGUGACUCCGGCUGGAUGGGAUAUUGAGCUAUAGAAUCAACCGUACAGGACCACUGUAGGGUCUCCGGUUGAUUUAUUAUUUCACCUUAAUUAUAUUGAUGCAUUCACAUUAUGUUUUGGCAUAUGGCUUGGCAUGGCAUAUUCUUUCUGAAAAGCGUUGAAGGAUUAUAAUUUGAGCUUUUGAUGAUAUAUAUAUAUAUAUAUGUUUAUAUAUUAUUAUGUUAUUUUCUAGGAAAGUAUACGGGUUUUAUAGCGAGGGGCUAGAAAUGUUUUAAAGGAAAUGUUUUCGAAAAACUUUGUUGUACUGACCCACUCAAUUUUGUUUUGCGCCCCUCCAGGUUCUAGUUAGCAGAGAUUUGGUGGCUACGAGGAAUCCAGCGGUGUUCUGACAGAAGUCACAAAAGUAGGACUCCCCCUCGGGUGUUUCAUCAUUGUAAUUGUAUUUUUUUAGCUUCCGAACUGUGUAAAUGGUUACGUCACACUCACGUGACGGCCAGCACGCCCUCCUUCGGGAUGGGGUGUGUCAG
rnacentral:lncRNA from 1 species